UACGGAAGGCAGCAGUGGGGAAUAUUGCACAAUGGGCGCAAGCCUGAUGCAGCCAUGCCGCGUGUAUGAAGAAGGCCUUCGGGUUGUAAAGUACUUUCAGUCGUGAGGAAGGUGUUAAGGUUAAUAACCUUAGCAAUUGACGUUAGCGACAGAAGAAGCACCGGCUAACUCCGUGCCAGCAGCCGCGGUAAUACGGAGGGUGCGAGCGUUAAUCGGAAUUACUGGGCGUAAAGGGCACGCAGGCGGUUAAUUAAGUUGGAUGUGAAAUCCCCGGGCUUAACCUGGGAAUGGCAUUCAAGACUGGUUAGCUAGAGUCUUGUAGAGGGGGUAGAAUUCCAUGUGUAGCGGUGAAAUGCGUAGAGAUGUGGAGGAAUACCGGUGGCGAAAGGCGGCCCCUGGACAAAAGACUGACGCUCAUGUGCGAAAGCGUGGGGAGCAAAACAGGGAUUAGAUACC
rnacentral:rRNA from 1 species